GUACGGCGAGUGAAGCGGCAACAGCUCAAAUUUGAAAUCUGGCUCUCGGGCCCGAGUUGUAAUUUGUAGAGGAUGCUUUUGAUGCGGUGCCUUCCGAGUUCCCUGGAACGGGACGCCAUAGAGGGUGAGAGCCCCGUCUGGUUGGAUGCCAAAUCUCUGUAAAGCUCCUUCAACGAGUCGAGUAGUUUGGGAAUGCUGCUCUAAAUGGGAGGUAUAUGUCUUCUAAAGCUAAAUACCGGCCAGAGACCGAUAGCGCACAAGUAGAGUGAUCGAAAGAUGAAAAGCACUUUGAAAAGAGAGUUAAAAAGUACGUGAAAUUGUUGAAAGGGAAGCGUUUAUGACCAGACUUGGGCUUGGUUAAUCAUCUGGGGUUCUCCCCAGUGCACUUUUCCAGUCCAGGCCAGCAUCAGUUUUCCCCGGGGGAUAAAGGCGGCGGGAAUGUGGCUCUCUUCGGGGAGUGUUAUAGCCCGCCGUGUAAUACCCUGGGGGGGACUGAGGUUCGCGCAUCUGCAAGGAUGCUGGCGUAAUGGUCAUCAACGACCCGU
rnacentral:rRNA from 1 species